rnacentral:lncRNA from 1 species
CAUCACAAUUAACAAGAUCUCCAACUAGCACCAACACAUCGUCAACCAUCAUGCAUUCAUUUUCCAGCCAUCACAAUCAACACCUCUAACUAUUAACAUUAAGUAACGUCAAAUCACAAACACCACCACCACUAUCAACUGUCACUAUCAUAAUAGUCACUACAAUCAACCAUCACAACUAUCACCACUAACAUUACCAAUCACAAACAUCAAUCAUUGUCAUCGCAAC